CUGCGGUUGGUCUCUCGUUUCUUCAGUUCACAAACAUGAACAGCAUGAGAAACUUAACGAUCACUGGUCUUUCGCUCUUUCUUGGAAUCUCGAUACCUCAGUUCUUUGUUCAUUACUGGGACGCUAGACAUUACGGGCUAGUUCAUACAGACGCGGGAUGGUUCAACGCCUUCUUGAACACGGUGUUCAUGUCUCCAGCUACUGUUGGUCUGAUCAUUGCGGUUUUUAUGGAUAAUACAGUUGAAGUGGAGAUGUCGAAGAAAGACAGAGGGAUGCCUUGGUGGGUCAAGUUUAGGAACUUUCGAGGAGAUAACCGUAAUGAAGAGUUCUACAAUUUGCCCUUUAACCUCAACAGAUUCUUCCCUCCUACUUAGUAUAAAUUAUAUUGACAUGCUUUCAUGAGGAAACAGAGGCUGCUGCUUUUUAGAUUCUGAUUAUUAUUCUUUUCUUUGGGUGGUGGUUUUUUAAAUUGAUGACCUCCAUUAUUGAAGUAGUUUGUUUGCUUUAGGAUUCAGCCUCUUCUUUCUGUAGAUUUUAAUAAGAUGAUUAGAAUUAUUUCUUUUUUGGGUUUUGGGUGAAUGGAAUCAAUUCUUGCACAAGCUUUUUCAGUUUACUUUAUUAUUUGAGGUCAAUCAAUAUGCUCGAAUAGAUUUUACUUUAUCCAUUAUAUCUAACUUUACAAUCGAAUUGAGUUCUUGUCCAAACUUAUCAUCAAUUUAAUUGUAACAGAUUCACUUUUAUGUCAUUUUUGUGAAUAGAGAACUUCUUUCACUGGUAUAAUAUGGAGUAUACAUUUCCAAUUCUGAUAAUCAAAGUACAAAUCAAAUUAAGUUUUCUUUAAAAAAAACCUUCUAAAAUACAUUUUUAUUGAUGGAAGUCUCAAUUUUUUUUUUAAAUGUGUUUCAUUAUAAAAGUACAUAGAAGAAGUCUGAUAGGGCCCUCUGGAGUUGCCAAAACCUUGAGCACUCUUCACAAUCAUUUAUAUUGGUCAAAUAUGAGGAGAGAUGUGAGAAAGAUUUGUAGCUGAUGGGUCUCUCGUAAGCAGGCUAAGGCUAAUGCCAAGGCACGCCUCAUGGUAUUGACACACUCUUUUGCUGAUUUCUAAGGAACGUUGGACUGAAUCAAUUGACUUUAUGUUACAACUUCCAAGAACUAAAAAAGAUAGGUAUCGUGUCUUUGUGGCUUUAGAUAGGUUCUCAAAAAUAGUUCAUUUAACUCCUUGUCAUAAGACUGAUAAUGCAUUUUUGAUUACCUAGUUGUUAUUUAGACAGGUUGUUUGUUUCCAACUUUCCAUGGAAUGCAGACCAUCAUUUCUAAUAGAUUUACCAAAUUCUUAUGUCAUUUCUGGAAGACAUUGUGAUCUAAGUUAAGAACAAAACAUUUUUUAUUCAAAUGUCAUCCAUAAGCUGAUACAAACUGAUGUUGUAAAUCGGAUAUUGUCAACACUUUUCCAUACAUUAAUUAAAUGUAAUGCACUCUUGUUACUUGUGGUCGUAGACGAACGUAAAAGAAACUGAGAUCACAACAAGGAAACUUAUAACUGCAAUCCACACCAACAUUUUUAAUGUAUUUAUUUUUUGUCUAGAAAAUAAUAAAACAUCCUGUCAACAAUAUUAUGCAAUUUUAAGAAAACAUAAAAUAGCAAACCUACACAUGAUGAAAACGAUAAUUAUGUUUUAAAUUUGAUAUUAGCUAUUUAAAUCUGUAAUAUCUAAUUAAAAUAUGGAUAAAAAUUAUGUCUUAUCAUAAUUUUAAAGAAGUGUAAUUUUCAAAAUUUAAAAUAUAAAUAGAGUAUUUUUAAAAAAUUUCCCUAAAUAAAAUAAUACUAAUAUACUUUGAAAAAUAUAUCUAUCUUAUUAAAACUCAAGUACAAAAUUGGAGUGUUUGGAGACUUGAAUAGGACUUUUAAAAAUUUGGAGUGUUUGGAAACAUGGAUUGCAGUCUUUUAAAAAAAAAUAUUUUUGUUUGGAAACAAGGAUAGUAGUAUUAAGAAAAAAAGUAAUGGGCUUAUGUUUUUUUAAAAAAUUGAAAGUUAUCUAGGCCACUUUUAAAAUAUACCAAAAUGGGUCAAUCUAAUUCCCUAAAAAAAUUUUUUCUAAACUAACCAUAAAACAAAAUUUAAACUUUAUAUACAUAUUUCAAAUCAAAAUAAUAAUUCAAAUUUGAUUUAUAUCAAAAAUUGAUUCAAAAAUAUACAUAUAUUCAAAAAUGGAUUUUUACUAAACUAUUUUUCAAUAACCAUUAUAAAAAAAUAUUGUCAAUAUAUAUAAGAAAAAUAUAAUACAAAGCCCAAUUUGAAAUACCAACUCAAAUUAUGGUUUUCAUAUUUCAUAUUAAGUUUUAAAAAUAUAAUAUAUGUAAUUAUUUAUAUGAUGGUAUGUAUAAAAUACUAUUAAUUAUAUGAUUACUUAUAUGAUGGUACAUAUAAAAUACGAUUAAUUAUAUGAUGAUAAAAUACGAUAUAUAAUAAUGACUAGGGAUGGGCUUUUGGAUACCCAUACGGGUUUAGUUCUGAUCGGUUUGUAUUUUGAAUUUUCGGGGUCAAAGAUUUCAGCCUUAUUAGAAUGUUUCUAAAUUUUGGUUUGAGUUCGAUUUGGAUCUUUGCGGGUUUGGUUUGGGUGAAGGAUGAAAUGAGAUUUGAGUAUUAAAAUUAAUGAUUGGUUUGUGCAGUCUACUGGAGCUUACAUGGCGGCUUCAAGAUUAGCUAUAGCCACACCCCCUCCUGCUUAUGUAUUGAGUAGAGGCAUCGGAUGGCAGGUGAAUAUAAGUAGUUUUCAUAAAUAAACACAUUAAAAUAAAUAAAUAUUCUUAUAUUUGUAUUUGCUAUGUUCUUGUCAGGGUAUUGGUGUGUUGCUAGAUGGUCUUUUCGGAACAGGCACAGGCUCUACUGUUCUAGUGUAAGUAAAGCUCACUGUUCUAUGUUCUUUUAUAUACACACACUGACACUCUCUAAUAAAUGUGUUAUUGCAGAGAGAAUGUAGGACUUCUUGGGUUAACAAGAGUAGGAAGCCGUCGCGUUGUUCAAGUAUCAGCAGGCUUCAUGAUCUUCUUCUCUAUAUUAGGUAUUACACCUUAAGUCAUACUUCUAUUGUAUUUUCUCAUGUGAUCUUGAAGUUGUGUUGUUUUUUGUCUCGAGCAGGCAAAUUCGGUGCUGUUUUUGCGUCUAUACCAGUGCCUAUCUACGCAGCAUUGCACUGUGUCCUCUUCGGCCUCGUUGGUAAGUCCAUUAAGAUUAAUAGAAAACAUGUCAUGGCUAACACUAGAACAUAAUCUUUAUCUUGAUUACAUUUCUUUGCAGCUGCGGUUGGUCUCUCGUUUCUUCAGUUCACAAACAUGAACAGCAUGAGAAACUUAACGAUCACUGGUCUUUCGCUCUUUCUUGGAAUCUCGAUACCUCAGUUCUUUGUUCAUUACUGGGACGCUAGACAUUACGGGCUAGUUCAUACAGACGCGGGAUGGUUCAACGCCUUCUUGAACACGGUGUUCAUGUCUCCAGCUACUGUUGGUCUGAUCAUUGCG
rnacentral:lncRNA from 1 species